rnacentral:rRNA from 1 species
CCUACGGGAGGCAGCAGUGAGGAAUAUUGGACAAUGGACGCAAGUCUGAACCAGCCACGCCGCGUGCAGGAAGACGGCGCUAUGAGUUGUAAACUGCUUUUGUACGAGGGUAAACGCAGAUACGCGUAUCUGUCUGAAAGUAUCGUACGAAUAAGGAUCGGCUAACUCCGGUCCAGCAGCCGCGGUAAUAAGGAGGAUUCAAGCGUUAUCAGGAUUUAUUGGGUUUAAAGGGUGCGUAGGCGGUCGGUUAAGUUAGAGGUGAAAUCCCGAGGCUCAACUUCGGAAUUGCCUCUGAUACUGUACGGCUAGAGAGUAGUUGCGGUAGGCGGAAUGUAUGGUGUAGCGGUGAAAUGCUUAGAGAUCAUACAGAACACCGAUUGCGAAGGCAGCUUACCGGGCUACUUCUGACGUUGAGGCACGAAAGCGUGGGGAGCAAACAGGAUUAGAUACCCCAGUAGUC